AAGUCGUAACAAGGUUUCCGUAGGUGAACCUGCGGAAGGAUCAUUAAAAAAUGAGGUAUUUUAUACCUCUUGUAUUUAAAACCCAACCCUUUUAAAAUAUAUUUUUUUCAAAAAAAAAAAACUUUCAACAAUGGAUCUCUUGGCUCUC
rnacentral:misc_RNA from 1 species